GGGAUUGCUCUAGUAACGGCGAGUGAAGCAGCAAUAGCUCAAAUUUGAAAUCUACCUAUUAAGGUCGAGAUGUAAUUUGUAGAGGUCGCUUAAGGUAUAGCCCCUCCUAAGUCCCUUGGAAUAGGGCGCCAAAGAGGGUGAGAGCCCCGUAUAGGAGGAAGCUAAGCCCGCCUAAAGCCCCUUCGACGAGUCGAGUAGUUUGGGAAUGCUGCUCUAAAUUGGAGGUAAAUUCCUUCUAAAGCUCAAUAUUUGCUAGAGACCGAUAGCGCACAAGUAGAGUGAUCGAAAGAUGAAAAGCACUUUGAAAAGAGAGUCAAAAGCACGUGAAAUUGUUAAAGGGGAAGCGCCCAUAACUAGAACUGCACUAGGCUAAUUUCCUACCGUUCUCGGUAGUACACUUAGCCUAGCCUAGGCCAGCGUUAGUUUAUAUAGGGAGAAAAAAGCCAUAGGAAAGUAGCUCCUACGGGAGUGUUAUAGCCUAAGGCACAAUACCACUACAAAGACUAAGGAAUGCGUUUUACAAGGACGUUGGCAUAAUAGUUAUUAGCGACCCGUCUUGAAACACGGACCAAGGAGUCAAGGUUUUACGCGAGUGUUAGGGUAUAAAACCCCUACGCAUAAUUAAAGUAAACGUGGGUAAGAGCUAUAGCGCAUUACCGACCGAUCUUGAUGUAUUCGGAUGGAUUUGAGUAGGAGCGUAACGCCUUGGACCCGAAAGAUGGUGAACUAUGCUUGGAUAGGGUGAAGCUAGAGGAAACUCUGGUGGAGGCUCGCAGCGGUUCUGACGUGCAAAUCGAUCGUCAAAUUUGAGCAUAGGGGCGAAAGACUAAUCGAACCAUCUAGUAGCUGGUAC
rnacentral:rRNA from 1 species